CACAUGACUCUCGGCAACGGAUAUCUCGGCUCUCGCAUCGAUGAAGAACGUAGCGAAAUGCGAUACCUGGUGUGAAUUGCAGAAUCCCGCGAACCAUCGAGUCUUUGAACGCAAGUUGCGCCCGAGGCCACUCGGCCGAGGGCACGCCUGCCUGGGCGUCACGC
rnacentral:rRNA from 7 species